rnacentral:rRNA from 1 species
ACCUGCGGAAGGAUCAUG